AGAGCUCGACAGCAGAGAGCACCAUCAGCAGGAAGCCGGCAACCUGGAUCUUCAUGAUUACUGGUGGAGAGAGAAAAACUAAGCUGACUGUGUUGGUAGUCUUGGGUGUCUGAAGCACAGACUGAGGAAGAUCUUCAACGGUGGAAAGUCUCUGAAGCUGCACUCUGACUGAUCUGGGCUUGUUAUAUAGCAUCCAGGUUUACUUGUGAUCUCCUGCGAAGUGCACAGACAGACUGGACUUCCUUGGCAUCAGCGAGAAUGAACGUGUUCGUCUUCUUGCAGACGUUGUUGUCGUCGUAGAUCUUCUUCUGUUUCAUC